rnacentral:rRNA from 1 species
UACAGAGGUGGCAAGCGUUGUUCGGAUUCAUUGGGCGUAAAGGGUGCGUAGGUGGCGCUGUAAGUCGGGUGUGAAAUUUCGGAGCUUAACUCCGAAACUGCAUUCGAUACUGCGGUGCUUGAGGACUGGAGAGGAGACUGGAAUUCAUGGUGUAGCAGUGAAAUGCGUAGAGAUCAUGAGGAAGACCAGUGGCGAAGGCGGGUCUCUGGACAGUUCCUGACACUGAGGCACGAAGGCCAGGGGAGCAAACGGG